UAAGCAUGCAAUGCUCAGAGGCAUACAGGAAGAAAAGCAGCAUUUGAAAGCAUCACCUUCGGGCCAAGAGCUUCAACAAUAUAUCUGAACAUUGUAGCUUCUCCCACCUGCUGCUGCCAUCAAACAAACUUACAAUGACAUCGAUCGGCCCCUACUUCUUUAUCCUGGGUUUGGUGGUGGCGUCUGUCACAGCACAAGAGACAUCCUCUGUCACAUCUCCAAAUAACUUUAGCUCCACAGUCAUUCCUAAUGACACUAUUGCUAAUAAUGAAAUAACCUUGAACACCAACACCACCAACACCACCACUGGUGCCAACUCGACUAUGCCCACUACCAGCAGUGCCAUGAAUAUCACCAACACCAGCAGCACCAUCCCACCUUCAACAACAAAGCUGACAGGUGAUGGAGGUUCUACAGAUGGCCGAACCUCCAAAAAUACAACGCCCAAAAUGCUCUCGGCUGGUCCUUCAAGCAAAACAACCACUAAAACAACCACUAAAACAACCACUAAAAAUAAGGACAAAAGCAUCACUGCUAAACCUCCGUUGGCAACAUCAGGCGACAGGACUGGCAUUAUCAUCCUAGUUGUGAUCGUGCUCGUAGCUUUUGGAUUUGGUGUUGCCUGCUUCUUGGCACGGAGGAGAGGAAGGCGCUACUCUGUCGACUUCACUUCCAGACCGGAUGAAGCCAACAUCCCUCUCAGCACUGUGGAGCCUGAGAUGCCUGUCGAUAAUGCUCCUGUGAAUGGUCUGCAAACCUUUGAAAGUGCAGAAACUACUACAAAAGAGCCACAAGAACCAGAGGAAAAACCUGAAGUACAGGACGAGCCCAAAGCUGAAGCAGAUAAAUCUGUUGUUGAACCCAGCGCUGAGUCUGCAGCUCUGGCACCGUCCCCAGACAGCUCAGAGGACAAACCUAAAGAGGACGUUGUUGAGCCGAGUCCUCCUGCACCUGUGGAGCCCAGUCCUCCUGCACCCGCGGAGCCGAGCGUGGAGGAGAAAACCGAUGAUGAAGGCGACGUCUCCAACAAGACCUCUGUGGAAUCGCUGAAGGAGACAAAUGAGAACAACAGCAACAAUGCUGACUUCAGUCAGAGGAGAGAUUCAAAACUCUUCUGGGACGUUCCUCUCGAUUGUCCGGUGUGAGGUACAUUGCCUCUCUGCUCCCGUGCUGUUCUUCAGGAACUCGGUCUCCAUCAGCAUUAUCACAAGACAACUGAGCAAACUCAAUCCACUGAUGAAGACCAGGGAAAAAGCUGAUUGAAGAAAGACUCAAGUGACCGGGGUGAAAGAGGACACACUCGAGUUGGUGGCUGCAUCAUUGUUGGAGACAAAAUUAGUUGUAACACAGAAGCUUUUUCAACGUUAAACGGCAGCUGAGCUCAGCUUUUUAAGUAUUUUACUGAUUACUCAAUUUGUGUGCUUUACAAACUAUCAAAAAAUACUGGAUUUAUAGACUAAAUGUUACAACGGUAGCACUUUAUUUUAAGUGUUUAUAAUCAGUAUAUAAAGAUAUAAUAAAUGGUUCAUAACAAACUAUAAUGUAGAUGGAAACAGAUAGCUUAUGGUCUAUUAAUAUGUUUGUCAACAACUAUGGAGUUACAUAAGUGAAAGCUUCUGUAUAAACAGAUAAUGAAUGACAAUAUAGUAAAACACAGCUGUAAUAAUAUAAAAUAUGUCUUCAUAGGAGAAGUUUAAUUAAAUGUGUAUAUACUGAUUAUAAAUACUAGGGUGACUUAAAGGACCAGUGUGUGAGAUUUAGUGGAUCUAACAUUGUAGUUGCAGAUUGCUACUGUAGAAACAUGGCGGUUCAACAUGGCGGCAUUCAUGGAAGGCAACCCGCUGUGUCUGUAGAUAAAAAUGCUUCUAAAGUAACAAAAAGACAACUGUUCCUAUUUUCAGGUGAUUAUACAAUAAUAAAAACCUACCAACAUAACAUAUUUCAAUGCAUUUCUGCCAAUAGAUCCUCCUAAAUGUUACACACUGGACCUUUAAAGUAAAGUGUUACUGGAACUGCUUUACAAUAAGGUACAAAAGGUUUUUAAGUUGUUGUUAAUGAUCAAAUAAUAAAUAAUGUAAAUAAAUAAAUGAUAUAACAAUGUAGUGUAAGUGUAAAUACAACUAUCGGCAUUUUAUAUUCAUUGCCAACUCCCCAAUCAAAGAUAUCCUUAUUUGUGGGCUGGUAACCAUAAAACUGGUCUCUGUACGCUAUAUAACAAAAUAUUACAGCUUUUGCCCCUGAACAGUAUUUUUGGUACUCAUUUGUAAAAUAUAAUAAUAAUAUAUAAAUAAACAAGAUGAUAUACAGUGGGAUGGCAAGAUUUUAAUUAGUGGUAUAGUAUUAAUUUAGGAUGCAAUGCUAUUUUUGUUGAUGCUGCAUUUGCUUUUUUUUCCAUUGAGUAGUAUUAAAGUUUCCGUUAUGUUGAAAGACUUUAAUGAUGUAUUAAAUAAAAGUAUUCUAUGUUUGUCCCAUA